rnacentral:rRNA from 1 species
CCUACGGGAGGCAGCAGUGGGGAAUAUUGGGCCAUGGGCGCAAGCCUGACCCAUCAAUGCCGCGUGAAGGAAGAAGGCUUUCGGGUUGUAAACUUCUUUGACAGGGGAAGAGCAGAAGACGGUACCCUGAAAACAAGCCACGGCUAACUACGUGCCAGCAGCCGCGGUAAUACGUAGGUGGCAAGCGUUGUCCGGAUUUACUGGGUGUAAAGGGCGUGUAGCCGGGAAGGCAAGUCAGAUGUGAAAUCUGGAGGCUCAACCUCCAAAUUGCAUUUGAAACUGUUUUUCUUGAGUACUGGAGAGGCAGACGGAAUUCCGUGUGUAGCGGUGAAAUGCGUAGAGAUAAGGAGGAACACCAGUGGCGAAGGCGGUCUGCUGGACAGCAACUGACGGUGAGGCGCGAAAGCGUGGGGAGCAAACAGGAUUAGAUACCCCAGUAGUC